rnacentral:rRNA from 1 species
AGUGAACGCUGGCGGUAGGCCUAACACAUGCAAGUCGAACGGCAGCACAGUAAGAGCUUGCUCUUACGGGUGGCGAGUGGCGGACGGGUGAGGAAUACAUCGGAAUCUACUUUUUCGUGGGGGAUAACGUAGGGAAACUUACGCUAAUACCGCAUACGACCUACGGGUGAAAGCAGGGGAUCUUCGGACCUUGCGCGAUUGAAUGAGCCGAUGUCGGAUUAGCUAGUUGGCGGGGUAAAGGCCCACCAAGGCGACGAUCCGUAGCUGGUCUGAGAGGAUGAGCAGCCAGACUGGGAUUGGGACACGGUCCGGGCCACUAAGGGAGGCAGCGUGGGGGAGGAUGGGACAAUGGGCGCAAUUCUGAUGCAGCCAUACCGCGUGGGUGAAGAAGGCCUUCGGGUUGUAAAGCCCUUUUGUUGGGAAAAAAAAGCAGCAGGUUAAUACCCCGCUGUUCUGACGGUACACAAAGAAUAAGCACCGGCUAUCUUCG